GCCGGGUGUGGUGGUGUGUGCCUGUAAUCCCAGCUACUUGGGAGGCUGAGGCAGGAGAAUUGCUUGAACCCAGGAGGCAGAGGUUGCAGUGAGCCGAGAUCAUGACACUGCAUGCCAACCUGGGUGACAGAGCAAGAUUCUGUCUCAA
ensembl:misc_RNA Metazoa_SRP Metazoan signal recognition particle RNA